GACGAACGCUGGCGGCGUGCCUAAUACAUGCAAGUCGAGCGAAUCUUGAGGUGCUUGCACCUCUUGGUUAGCGGCGGACGGGUGAGUAACACGUGGGCAACCUGCCUGUAAGACUGGGAUAACUUCGGGAAACCGGAGCUAAUACCGGAUAAUCCUUUUCCUCUCAUGAGGAAAAGCUGAAAGUCGGUUUACGCUGACACUUACAGAUGGGCGCGAGGCGCAUUAGCUAGUUGGUGAGGUAACGGCUCACCAAGGCGCCGAUGCGUAGCCGACCUGAGAGGGUGAUCGGCCACACUGGGACUGAGACACGGCCCAGACUCCUGCAGGAGGCAGCAGUAGGGAAUCUUCCGCAAUGGACGAAAGUCUGACGGAGCAACGCCGCGUGAGCGAUGAAGGCCUUCGGGUCGUAAAGCUCUGUUGUUAGGGAAGAACAAGUAUCGGAGUAACUGCCGGUACCUUGACGGUACCUAACCAGAAAGCCACGGCUAACUACGUGCCAGCCGCCGCGGUAACAC
rnacentral:rRNA from 1 species